GCAGAUGUAAUUCAAUGGUAGAAUAGAAGCUUCCCAAGCUUAUAACGGGGGUUCGAUUCCCCUCAUCUGCUCCA
rnacentral:tRNA from 1 species